rnacentral:lncRNA from 1 species
CUUAUUGUUAUUAAGCAUGAGCGACCUAAUGAGUAUGUUUUGUUGGUCUGUCUUUAUGUGCUGGCUCUCUGGAUAUACAUGGAAGAGUAAAAUUGUCUAGCUUGUGAACAAGAACAAAUCUCGAAGCAGUUUUCUUGCACUCUUCUUAUUAUCUUGGGGAAUCCACAAGAUAACAAGCAGAUAAUUGCAUGCAUGUACAAAUUAUAAAAUAAGAGGCUAUAAACAAAGCUAUUGGAUGUUUACUUUCUUGCAUUUAUGUAUAAACCAAAAAUCAAUAACAUACAACAUUAAAAUCAAAUUAUAAUAGCAAUUUAAUCACUAUUAAACACUGAUACAUUAAAAAGUGCAUUAUCAAUUCAAGACAUAAGUAAAGAAUAUGUUUCCCUCAAGACAUAUUGAAAGUCCAAGAUAAGUUGAAGUUUACAGUUACCUGGAGGAGAAGUAUUGUGCUCACAAAUAUAAACUCGCAUCCCCCCUGCAAAACUUUGCAAAUAAACAAAACAAUUUUGAUCCAACGGAGAAUAUAGGUAAUUGCAGUAAUUCAUGAUUAUUUUUGCAAUAUAUGCAAAAUAUUGCAGCACUGUAGAUGAUUGCAAUAAUUCAAGCUACACAGUCACCCAACAAGUUUCCCUCUAGAUGCCUAACCAAGUUGAUUCGCUCUUUAACCAAAUAAGAAACUCUUCUUAGCUUGUUUCGAUAGGCAUAUUAUAUUAUAUGAAUGGAAUUGGAAAAUAGGUUAUAUUUUUCUAUAUGUUUCAGGAAGAUUCUUUGAGAGAAAUAGCAUGAAAUACUUAAAGAGUUCCAAAGAUAGAUGGAAACAAAAGCAGGGCAAUAAAAGAAGCUAAGUGGGUACGGGGCUCCACUGUCUUACUAUCUUCCAGGAUCCUGAUGUGCGACGCUUUUGUGUGGCAAGAUAGAGUUAAGGUAAUUGUUAAAGAAAAUAAAUACAGAGAGAUAAUACAAAAAGCUAUUCUUUGAGAAGUAUCUAAACUCCAUUGACACACAGAACACAUGGGGAAAUUGAUGUAGGCUGAAGAGAGGAGCACAGGACAUUCUAAAGAAAGACCAUAACAUGUCCAAAAUCCAAACAUAAAGGAUAAGACCUCCAGUGCCAGACUAGCAAUUUCUUAAUCCUUCAUUACUUAACAGAUGAAAGGAACAAUCAUAAAGCGUGCUUACAAGAGAAUGCUAAACAGGCAAACAUGACACUGUAUUUAAUUAGUACAUUCAAGUGUUUGGUACCCAAAACUCACGGGAAACUAUCCCAAACCGAAACUAAGAAUUUUACUAAAGACAACUGAUAAUAGCAACUCCAAGAUAUUUAUGGAUCAAUAUAGAGCAUAGCCAAUAAAAACCUUACUUCUGCAAAUAAAUUUCCUUUACUCAAUUUCGUACCAAUUAAAUCUGAAAUGAAAACUCCAAAACCCGAUGCUUAGCUCAAGUAAUUCAUGUAAUUAUCCUUUCAAGGUGGCACCGAGAAAGUCCGAAAUUUGAAUCCAGAAGUCUACAAUUCUUCCUAUAUCCAGACUUAGUUUUUUUCUUAAUAAAAAUGAAUAAUAAUAAACCUUCAACUCCAUUUUUGGCACAUUAACUUAGCUAAAAUUUCUCAUACAUAUAACUAAACAUUCAAGUUCCUUAAGAAAAUUCACUAAUUCUACAAAAAAAGAACAACUUAAAACCGACAGAACAAAAAUACAAUAAAGGCAAUAAAAAAGGUUAAAUUCUUAUUACCUCUUGUAACCCAAGAUAGUUCCUCUUACGUAGAGUCUGCAAUAAGGAAGUUAAAAAAACAUGGAGAUACGACUUAUUAUCAACAAUUGUAAAUAAUAGAAAAUGUGAGCAGUUAACAAUGAAAUGCUGGGAAGCUCAAAAACUCAUGAAGACAAAUUUUGACAUCAACAAGGAGAACAAGUUAACGAACCAAAUUAAAAUCUUAACUCUGGCAGAUAUUAGAUUCAGAUACAUGAAUUUUCCAAUUUUCUUCUAAUAAGAUAUUAUUAGAUAAUACAAUAUGUAAAGCUUUUCCAUUGCAUAAUUCAAUUCGAAUUCGCAUUCUACUUAGACUAAUACCAUGGCUCUAAACUCAAUAAUGGGAAUUAAGCGAUUCUUUUUCUUCAAUAAACACAGUAAGAGCUAUAUCUAACUGUUAACAUUAAUGGGAGACAACAUUAAUGGCAAACAAUACAAAGUGGUGCAAGUUUAGCACCCUAAAUUUGACUUUGAAAAAGUGGCAUGGGAUAAUUUUUUUUUGGUCCUUGAGAUAAUGGGCUAUUUAUUGUUUGGUCCUUAAACCUCAACUAUAAAUAGGCCUUCUCAUUUCUCAUUUCAAUUCAUCCCAACCAAUCUUUCUCUCUUAGUUUUCUCUCUUCUCCCAUUAGAGAAUUCUUAAGGAAUUCUAUUUGUUUGUAAUACUUUGAAGAUAGUAAAGUUAUCAUCUGGUGUUAGUGCCCGAGGACGUAGGUAUAAUUUACCGAACCUCGUUAAAACUCUUGUGUUCUUUCUUGUCCUAUUUUUCUUUCAAUAUUUGAGGGUAUAAUAGUAGUAUUUAAUUGUGCUAUUAAAUUACUAUAGAAGGGAUAUUCUGUCUAAGGAAAGACUUGGUAUUUAAGAGAUCCUUGUGAUCCACCUCUCUUCCCUGGGAAUUGAACUUUGUGUGAUUUUUUAGUACAAUAAUUUACACGCUUCCGACCCUAUUGGAACAACAAGUGGUAUCAAGAGCCGAAGGUUAAUCGUAGUAUGCUCUGUGGUUGCAGUUUGAACUGAUCUUCCACAUCAGAAAAGAUUUCCUUAGGUAUAUUGAAAGAUUAUGGAGAAAACGGUCGGUGUAGGAGCUUCAACAUCGUCCAUGUGGACAAGACCGACAAUUGCAAAUGCAAGAUUGGCCGUGGAGAUCUUUGAUGGCACGGGCCAUUUUGGUAUGUGGCAAAGUGAGGUUCUAGAUGCCCUUUUUCAGCAGGGUCUAGACAUUGCCAUUGAUGAAGAGAAACCAGAUGAUGUACAGGAGAAAGAUUGGAAGGCGAUCAAUCGGUUGGCAUGUGGCACAAUUCGAUCAUGCCUUUCUCGAGAGCAGAGGUAUGCUUUUUCAAAGGAGACUUCUGCAAAUAAGUUGUGGGUGGCACUUGAAGAAAAAUUUUUGAAGAAAAACAGUCAAAAUAAGCUCCACUUGAAGAAAAGACUGUUUCGCUUCACAUACGUCCCAAGUACCACAAUGAAUGAUCACAUCACCAAAUUUAAUCAGUUAGUCACUGAUUUGCUGAAUAUGGAUGAGACAUUCAAAGAUGAAGAUUUGGCUUUGAUGCUGUUGGGGUCACUUCCUGAGGAGUUUGAGUUCCUAGAAACUACUCUACUUCAUGGCAGGAGUGAUAUAUCUCUGAGCGAAGUCUGUGCGGCCUUAUACAGUUAUGAACAGAGAAAGAAGGACAAACAGAAAAACUCAAUCAGAGAUACAGAAGCUUUACUAGUCCGAGGUCGUUCAUACACUCAGAAGAAAACUCAAAAGGGGAGAUCAAAGUCAAAGUCCAGACUCGGGAAAGAUGAAUGUGCUUUUUUGUCAUGAGAAAGGCCACUGGAAGAAAAAUUGUCCAAAGCUGAAGAAUAAGGGAAAAGCUGCUGUAGAUGCUUGUGUUGCUAAGCAUGAUACUAGUGACUCUGAACUAUCACUGGUUGCAUCAUCAUCGUCGUUCCAUUCAGAUGAGUGGAUAUUGGAUUCGGGUUGUACCUAUCAUAUGUCCCCUAACCGGGAGUGGUUCUCUGAUUUAGUAGAACUAAAUGGAGGAGUUGUUUAUAUGGGCAAUGACAAUGCCUGUAAAACUGUUGGGAUAGGUUCAAUCCAAUUAAAGAAUAAAGAUGGAUCAACCAGAGUUCUGACUGAUGUUCGGUACGUGCCCAGUUUGAAGAAAAAUCUCAUCUCAUUGGGAGCCUUGGAAUCCAAUGGUUCAGUUGUUACUAUGAGAGAUGGGGUUUUGAAAGUGACAUCUGGCGCACUUGUGAUAUUGAAGGGCAUCAGGAAAAAUAACUUGUAUUACUACCAAGGUAGUACAGUUAUUGGAGCAGUCGCUGCAGCUUCCGGUAACAAAGACUUGGACUCAAUGCAGUUGUGGCAUAUGAAGUUGGGACAUGCCAGCGAAAAAUCCUUGCAAAUUCUGGCAAAGCAAGGAUUGUUGAAAGGUGUAAAGGCUUGCAAAUUAAAAUUUUGUGAGCACUGUGUUCUGGGAAAGCAAAAGAGAGUGAAAUUCGGCACUGCUAUCCAUAAUACAAAAGGUAUUUUGGAAUAUAUUCACUCAGAUGUGUGGGGGCCUUCCAAAACACCUUCAUUGGGAGGAAAACACUACUUUGUUACUUUUGUUGAUGACUUUUCCAGAAGAGUUUGGGUGUAUACCAUGAAAACUAAAGAUGAAGUGCUUGGAGUUUUUCUUAAAUGGAAAACUAUGAUCGAAAACCAGACUGGCAAGAAAAUCAAGCGGCUUAGGACGGACAAUGGAGGGGAAUAUAAAAGUGAUCCGUUCUUCGAUGUGUGCCAAGAGUAUGGUAUUGUUCGACACUUCACAGUUAGGGAUACACCACAGCAGAAUGGAUUGGCAGAGCGUAUGAAUCGAACAUUGCUGGAGAAAGUUCGAUGUAUGUUGUCCAAUGCUGGGUUGGGCAAGCAAUUUUGGGCUGAGGCUGUAACAUACGCUGGCCAUCUUGUUAAUCGUUUGCCAUCAUCUGCAUUAGAAAGAAAAACUCCUAUGGAGGUAUGGUCUGGAAAACCGGCUACAGAUUAUGAUUCCUUACAUGUGUUUGGAACCACUGCAUAUUACCAUGUGAAGGAGUCAAAGUUAGAUCCGAGGGCAAAGAAAGCUCUCUUUAUGGGAAUCACUUCUGGAGUGAAGGGAUUUCGUCUUUGGUGCUUAAGCACAAAGAAAAUGAUCUGUAGCAGAGAUGUUACCUUUGAUGAAUCUACCACAUUGAAAAAGGUAGCAGAUAAAGAUAUUCAGACGAGCAAUACUCCACAGCAGGUGGAGUGUACUCCAAAACAGGUGGAGUUUGAGCAGAUGGGGAUUUGCCCAGUUAAUAAGUCUAAUUCUCCAGCCACAAUGGAGGAAUUAGAGGUUGAAGAGGUUCUGACCCAAGAACCACUAAGUACACCAGAACCAGUUGCAGUUGCAAGGCCACGGAGAGAAAUUCGUAAACCUGCUCGAUUUACUGAUAUAGUGGCCUACGCCCUUCCCGUUGUUGAUGAUAUUCCUAUCACUUAUCAAGAAGCAAUGCAAAGCUUAGAAAGUGAUAAAUGGAAAAGCGCCAUGGAUGAAGAAAUGCAGUCUCUCCGGAAGAAUAAUACUUGGGAGUUGGCGCAAUUACCGAAAGGUAAAAGGGCAAUCGGAUGCAAGUGGGUAUUCGCAAAGAAAGAUGGAUCUCCUAGCAAGAAGGAUAUUCGCUACAAGGCAAGAUUGGUAGCUAAAGGCUACGCUCAGAAGGAGGGAAUUGACUACAAUGAUGUAUUUUCCCCUGUUGUGAAGCAUUCCUCCAUUAGAAUUUUGUUGGCCUUGGUAGCACAGUUGAAUUUGGAGCUAGCUCAACUUGAUGUUAAGACGGCUUUCUUGCAUGGUGAGUUAGAAGAGGAGAUCUAUAUGACUCAGCCAGAAGGAUACACAGAUGCUGGUGGUAGAAAUUGGGUUUGUAAGCUUAACAAAUCGCUAUAUGGAUUGAAGCAAUCCCCGAGGCAGUGGUACAAGCGAUUUGAUAGCUUUAUGAGAAGGCAGAAGUACACAAGAAGCAAAUAUGACAAUUGUGUAUAUUUGCAGAAGCUGCAUGACGGAUCUUUCAUUUAUCUACUCUUGUAUGUUGAUGAUAUGUUAAUCGCUUCGAAGAGCCAAAAUGAGAUAGAUAAGCUGAAGGCUCAGUUGAAUCAAGAGUUCGAGAUGAAAGAUCUAGGUGAGGCCAAGAAGAUUCUCGGCAUGGAGAUAAGUAGAGAUAGACCGAGAGGCAAGCUCUGUUUAAAUCAGAAGCAAUAUCUGAAAAAGGUAUUACAAUGUUUUGGUGUAAAUGAAAACACAAAACAUGUAAGUACCCCACUUGCUUCUCAUUUGAAACUUAGUGCUCAAUUAUCUCCGAAGACUGAAGAUGAAAGAGAAUAUAUGGCGAAAGUCCCAUAUGCUAAUGCAGUUGGGAGUUUGAUGUAUGCGAUGGUGUGUACGAGGCCUGACAUUUCACAAGCUGUUGGAGUUGUGAGCAGGUAUAUGCAUGAUCCUGGAAAAGGACAUUGGCAAGCUGUGAAAUGGAUUCUACGGUAUCUUCGAAAAACCGUAGAUGUUGGUUUAAUUUUUGAACAGGAUGAAGCACUUGGUCAGUUUGUAGUUGGAUAUGUUGAUUCCGACUUUGCUGGUGAUUUAGAUAAACGUCGUUCAACUACGGGGUAUCUGUUUACUCUUGCGAAAGCCCCAAUAAGUUGGAAGUCUACCUUACAGUCUACAGUAGCUGUGUCUACUACAGAGGCAGAAUAUAUGGCAGUUACAGAAGCUGUUAAGGAGGCUAUUUGGCUUAAUGGAUUGUUGAAAGACUUAGGAGUUGUUCAAAGUCACAUAAGUUUAUAUUGUGACAGUCAGAGCGCUAUUCAUUUAGCGAAAAAUCAAGUCUAUCAUUCAAGAACCAAGCAUAUCGACGUAAGAUAUCACUUUGUGCGGGAAGUCUUUGAAAAAGGAAAAAUUCUACUUCAGAAGAUUCCGACAGCAGAUAAUCCCGCAGAUAUGAUGACCAAGGUGGUAACAACAAUCAAGUUUAAUCAUUGUUUGAACUUGAUUAACAUCCUGAGAAUUUGAGCACCUUCAGGUGUAUGGCGCCCGAGAGUGCAUUUGUAGGCACUACAAAAGAUAGCUUUAUCGAAUUUGGGGAGUUGAAGGAAGUGUGUGAAGAUGUGAUUAUCCUAAUCAAAUCUUCAAGGUGGAGAUUGUUAACAUUAAUGGGAGACAACAUUAAUGGCAAACAAUACAAAGUGGUGCAAGUUUAGCACCCUAAAUUUGACUUUGAAAAAGUGGCAUGGGAUAAUUUUUUUUUGGUCCUUGAGAUAAUGGGCUAUUUAUUGUUUGGUCCUUAAACCUCAACUAUAAAUAGGCCUUCUCAUUUCUCAUUUCAAUUCAUCCCAACCAAUCUUUCUCUCUUAGUUUUCUCUCUUCUCCCAUUUGAGAAUUCUUAAGGAAUUCUAUUUGUUUGUAAUACUUUGAAGAUAGUAAAGUUAUCAUCUGGUGUUAGUGCCCGAGGACGUAGGUAUAAUUUACCGAACCUCGUUAAAACUCUUGUGUUCUUUCUUGUCCUAUUUUUCUUUCAAUAUUUGAGGGUAUAAUAGUAGUAUUUAAUUGUGCUAUUAAAUUACUAUAGAAGGGAUAUUCUGUCUAAGGAAAGACUUGGUAUUUAAGAGAUCCUUGUGAUCCACCUCUCUUCCCUGGGAAUUGAACUUUGUGUGAUUUUUUAGUACAAUAAUUUACACGCUUCCGACCCUAUUGGAACAACACUAACUUACAAUAGAUUCAUCCAUUGCUGCAACUCUACUUUCUAGCUUUGAAACAUAUCUAACUUUAGUCAUAAAUGUAAAGAUCUACCAAUAUUAAACCGUGAAGCCUUAUUAUUAAGUCGCCAAAAAUCAAAAGGAAAAAAAACACAAUAAAUCAAGAUACAUUUCCAGUCGUAAUAAUUACAGAAAACAGAAACAAUUGGGUUGAAUAUUGAGGACAAACUUGGAAUCAUCUGUUAAUCUACCAUCGUAAGUAAACCGAGACAAAAGAACCUAUCAUGUGACGAACUAACAAAGAGUAACAAGAGUACCAAGCAAGAAGAACAAAUUAUAAUCCUAGCUUCGAACAAGAGUACCAAAGUUUCAGGAAAACAUAAAUUAUAAUCCUAAUACAGAAACACUCACAAAAAUUCCAAGAAUGAAAAUCCAAGUUCAUGGUUCCAUUAGAUCUGACUACCACAAAGCUCGGCACUUUCCUCA